AUGCUCGGCGACGCGGUGCCUCCGGAGAUCCAUGAUGUUCUCCUCUGUGACAGAGUCGCUCUCCUUCAUCGCAGCCACCUGUCCUACCCAGUCGUCCCACUGCCACCUGACUGCCAUCGCACAGGCACAUCGGAAAGCCAAAUCGGGGGUGGAAAGGGAGUGGACACCCCAGAGGGACAUACCUCUACUCAGCCCACGCCCCCCCCUCCCCCAUCCCCCCUCAGGAUGCUCAGGGGAUAGAUGAUGGGGGUGUAGAAGGAAACGGGGGCAAUAGGCUCAGGGUCACAGCGUCCAUGCCUGACCCUGGGGUUACUGGCUGAUGUCCAGCUUCUGAGCCUGCUAUACCAGUGCAGGUACCCAGUACAGUACGUGAAGUGUGGCCCAUUGAGUGAGGCAGGGAGCCUGAUUGGAUGAUUCCCCUGGGGUGAGCUCUCCAUUAGCUGAGGUGAUAUAACAGGGCUCAUCACUGUGAAGAUUGCCCUCUCCCCGGGAGAGGACCUGCAGAAAACAAACACAUGAUGAAAGGAUAGAGGAGAAGAGGGGUGGAGGGAGAGAUGGGAGCAAAUAGGUAAGGUAAGUCAUUUGGAAGUGGGAGUCUUGUCUUGUCCUCCAGGGGGCGCCCCCUUUGAAUUUCGCUGCCUUUAAAGGGCUUAACAGGUCAGAUUAGUUGAGAAAGUGACCUGCAUCGAUGAGGAGAGGUCGGGGGGUUGGAGCUGAGUGCCUGAGAUCUCCUUGAUCAAUGUCGGGGGUGGAAAGGAAAGGUGGUU